GUGCAUGGCCGGUGCAGAAAAGGGACGCCUUGCCCUGGAUCGGCGAGUCCAGGCGCGUAGAGGCUCCCGGAGCGCCCCCCGGAACUGCCCCGGUCGUUGCCCCCCCCGUCGCCGCCCCGGCCCCGGCCCCCUCUUCCCAGGCGGGGCUCCCGGGGGGCUCCCACGUCUACGUGCUGCCGACGGCCGGGCAGGAGGUGGGCAGUAAGUACAGCGGCUUCAAGCAGGGGUGGCCCUCCUCCUCGCCACCCGGCGUCCGCAAGACCACCUCCUCCUACAGGCAUGAGUAUCGCCCAUGGACUGGAGCAAAAAGAUCAAGGCCUACCAAGACAACACAAGGGUUCAUCAUUCCAGAGGAUCACUUUGCACAAGAAUCUAGCUACAAGGCAGAUUUUAAGAUUCCAGAAGUGAAGGCUAAGUUUUCUCCCAACCCUUCUGCUGUCUUCCAGGCACCAUCUCGCAUCCUCAAUGUAUGAAUCUGGAUUAUACCCAUUUUCCAUCCAGGCAACUCGAAUGUUUAUAAAAAUGUACAGCUAUGCAACUUCCAUGAGUGGUGAUGAGAUAAGAGCAAGGAUUAUUAAGAACAGCUGCAGUAAUUAUCUGAAUUUCUGCAUUUAUUAUGAACAUGCAAAUCAUAAGCACUUGAGUUGGAGAUGGUAUAAUAUACUGGGGAGAAUGACCUAGUUUCAUAGAAAUUGGCUCAUUAGUAUUGGCCUGACUGGCUUCACAUUUAAGAUAUCAACUUUGGUCAGCAAAAUGCAGCAUUUUAAGCAAUGUACUUAAGUCUAUGUAGACAAUUGGAUGGGGCCAGUAUAUAGUACACCUCCCCACCCAAAUAUUAGUUUAUAACCACUUUUGACAAGAGGUCAGUUAAAAGACUCCGGGUGGCACUGAAAUAUUGCAUUAAAAACCCUUGGGUAUCGACCUCAAAACCUGUCUCAUGUUGUUGCAGGGAUCUUCCCCAUUGCUGUGGGUCAUUCAAGGUGAAGAGUGCGACUCUUGACCAGUUUGCCUCAGAACUUGGUGCUUCACACAAAUGCUGACUAGAUUUUGGGGGGCCAUGGGGGGGAAAGACUCCUAAGGAGGCCCCUAGGCUCUUACCUCAAGUAUGUACAUACUUCCCUAGAUUCUCUUUGAUAGAGGCUGUAUGGGUUGUGUCAGGAUUGCUUUUCUUACCUGGGGAAGCACUCUCAGGCAUAUCACUCAUACCCUUAUAUCUUGCCUCGUUGUGUCGUGGACUGGUCAAAUCCUUUCUUUGCUCUUUAAAGGGUCUGGUCUUUGGUCACUUGAGAAGAGCUAAAAAUUCUUCUGAAAAUGCACGCAGGAAUCAAUUGGUUGCCUACAUGCACAUCAACAUCAAAACAUUCCUAAGGACAAGGAGGUAUUACUCUGGAAUUGAAACUCAAUAUUUCAUCCAGGACUAUUUUUGUCCCAUUGAUUUAGUAGGCCAAAGGAACCUCCCUCUGCCCGAAAGCAAAAUUAAGGAAUGUGAAAAGCGAAUGUUUUCAAGGGAUAUGGUUUUAUUUGUUUAUUUAUUUAUUCUUGACCUACUCCGCAGGACCUUGAGAUGAUUAUUUUCAAGCAUCACAAUAAAAUAUGAAAAAUAAAAAUUACAGCUGAAAAUACACAUUCCCUGACUUGAAUACUGCCAGGCCUUCUCUAGCUCUGAGAUAUCUGUCCCAAGAAGUAGGCCUCACAUUUAUUGGCAAUGAGGUUCAUGUCUGUAUUUCUUUAGGACACGCAUUCCCCAGCCUUGGUGCAGCUGUCCUGAAGGCCUCUUUCUGUCUUCAGAGCUCAGUUGGGGAGGCUAUUCAAUUCUGGGAAGGAAACAACAACAACUGAGAUGCAGGGUAAGAAAAACAGCAACAUUCUUGACAAAGUACCAGCUUUUAUUAGAAACUGGUAGCACUAUUUUAGCUCAAAGCACUGCAGUUGACCAGAUAUUAAAGCAAUUAUCAAUUCAAGUUGUGCUAUAUAAUGUGUAUAUAAUUCCUGUACAUAAAUAUAACUGAUGAAUUUCUCACAAAGACAACAAAAGCAUCCUUAGUCCUAUUUAUUUGUUUAUUUAUUUAUUUAGGUUUUGAGAAUGCAAGGUAGAUUUAUUGCCUUCAAAACCCUCAGUUAUUGCCUGUAUAUCAGUAACGCUAAUGCUAAAGAAAUGAAUGUUACCUAGUGGCUAUUAUAUAAUGCAAUUUUCAAAGAUACUCAUUUAUAAAUCUCAUUAUUCUACAUUUUCUAUAGUAUUAGUGACACAAAAGUACAUUUUGGCUGGGCUCUUUUAAUAACCCAUUUCUUAGUGUUUGUUCAGUUCCUCAUAGAUCGUAUAUAUUUUUACCAACAAGGAUUUAUACAGAUUGACUGACUGCUGGCAUAGUAUUUUUCCCCAUCUGUCAUCAUUUUUCUGCCCACAUAUUUUUGUAACUGUCACACUAAUUCAUUGGCCUUCUCCCAGUGUACAAGUACAGAUUCAGAUGGGCAUUUGAAUCCCUUCUUGUUCAAGCUGGGAUUUCACUUCAUUCUAGAGCUGGGAUGGGCCUAUGUGGAGCAGGAGCUCUGUGGAUGUAUUUUGAACUGAAGUCCCUUGGAAAUUUCCAUUUGGGCACCGAUAUCUGACAUUUGUCUAUUAGAAUCAGUAUCAUAUGGUCAAUAACAUACACUCCAUCUUCCAUUCCUUAAUAAAGGCUGGAGGAAGAAGUUACAAAGUUAGGUGUAAUCUCAAGGUUUGUGCCCUGACUCUUAGUACUUGUUAGGAUUGACAGUGGUCAUGGAGUUUGGAGUGUUAUAGCUCCCAAAAAUAACAUUUCCAAGCUUUAGAGAGGACCUUAAUGGUGUGUUUACUUCCUUUUGGCGGUUAGGUAUGCCUCACUGUAUGAUAGUCAACUGUCAGAAUACAAAGAAUUAGUUUUGUCAUCUUCGAGAACUCGGACAUGUCCUUGAGAAAUUUUAGUUUAUCUUUUCCUGAAACAUUGCUUUUUAAGUGUACAGCUUUUACUGUAUUUCAAAAUCAGUUUACCAUACAGUAAAAGGCUUACUGUUGGAGAAAGACAACUCCACACACAGCCUCCGUUCUCCCAGACAUAAUUUCUGGACCUUGCUCCUAAUCGUGUUCCUAAUUGUGUGCUGAUUGGAAGCAGCAGUCCUUGCUCUGGUCUUCAGAGAUAGACGUACAAUAAUAUUUAUUUGCCUUUAUUACAGUAUUUCUAACCUGACCUGUACUGGCAGAGCUCACGGUAGGGCACAAUUAAUAAAAACACAUUAAAAGGAUCAGAAAAAUUUAUCACAAGGUAACAAUUUGAAGAAAACAAACCCCAGCCAACUAGAAGACUGGAAACCAUGCCAUGAUCUCCCUAGGCGUCAAAUGAUAGGGAGAGAAUUAACCAAUGAGAGACAGCUAUCCCAGGCAGCUGAUCACGGCAGGCAGCAAGUUGUUGGCAGGAAUAACUGUGCUGUUCAGUCUGCUCCGCACCACCAAAGCUAGCUUGCUGCCUGCAGGUUUAAUGGAAGAAGGUGCCUCAUUGCCAGUGUUGAAGAAAUGCAAAACUGACAGUCCUGUCAGCUUUUCUUUCCUUUGCUUUUUUUUACAUGGAAUAGUGUGCAGGCAUUAUAAGCUGCUUUGACUCAGGCAGUGAAAUGUCUUGUGCCAAGGCAGUGUACUUAUCCACAUCUGGAGGGCAUCAUAUUAGUUAAGACAGAUGUAGAUGGUAAAAGAUGGUACUGCUUCUUUCAUCCUGCAUAAAGGGGCCAUUUGCUAGAUGAACACACAAAACAUGGGGUUGGGUGAGAAUCAUAAUGUGGAAGAAUGCAUUUAAAAUAUCUUUCUUUGCAUGUUGAAUGUUCCUGAGUAAAAACCUAUUAAUUUUGCUUGAUUGGUCUGUAUCUGAUGUCUUUAAACAGCUGAGGUUACUUGCAAUCUUAACUUUUACUAAACAGGAAAAUGAGAAAACCACACUGCCUACUUGGUUUCUGUUGUUGAUUUAAUAUAUUUCUUAAAAAGAAAAACAGAUGACAACAAAGCAGCUAUACUCAAAGUUUGUAUUUUAUUGAG